AUGGCUGAGCAGCAGACCCCUCACAGACAGGACGGACCCAACAUGCCCGGGGGCCCAGAGCCCAAGGAGCAGGAGGCCAGCCCACCAGACCCGGGCUCAGGCUGCAGCCCCGCUCUACGCAGGCUGCAGGUGGAGAGGAGAAGCGUCCAGGACUUUGGCAACGGAGACCGAGGGGCUAGCAAGGAUGCCCUCUGGGAGGACAGGGAGCCUCAGAUGGGGGAGCCUGAGUCAUUCAGGAACAAGCUGGAGCCCAAGACAGAGCUGGGCUGCACUUCAGGAGCCCUGGUCCUAGGCGGUGAUGCAGCGGGCAAAGGGGACACAGGGACCCAGAUGUGCAAGGCCCAGGCACAGAGGAGCACGCCCCAGCCCUGGAGCCCCCAGCAGUAUAGGACACCAACAAGGACCCCUCAGGACCCUCCAGCUCACCGGCAUGGCACCCGUGACCUCGACCCACAGCCAUCCCCACGACCCAGCAAGCGGGACCAAAGGGAGUCGGGUGUCGGGAAGGACAUCCAAAGCCCGGGCCAGGAGACUGAGGUCAGGAAGGAACAUGCCAGGGCCCAGGGUGGAUCAUCUCUUCAAGCAGAAAACAGACUUUCUAGUUCCUGGGGCUCCCUGGGGACCCUGGCUGUGGGGGGUUCUGCAGUCCCCAGCACAGGGACAGCUCACUGUGCCUAUGAUUACUUCCAGUUUUGGGGCCAGGGCACCCUGGUCACCGUCUCCUCAGAGACCUCAUCCCAUCCAAAUCUCUUCCCCCUCAUCACCUGUGAGAGCUCCCUGUCCGAUGAGCCCCUGGUGGCCAUGGGCUGCCUGGCCCGGGACUUCCUGCCCAGCUCCGUCACCUUCUCCUGGAACUACAAGAACAACAGUGUGGUCAACAACCGGGACAUCCAGACCUUCCCUCCAGUCCUGAGAGAGGGCAAGUACGUGGCUACCUCUCAGGUGCUCCUGCCCUCCGUGGACGUCCUCCAGGGUUCAGAUGACUUCCUCACAUGCAAUGUGAAACACCCCCAGGGCAACAGGGAGGUGAACGUGCCCAUCCCAGUGCCUGUAGAGCUGUCCCCCAACGUCACUGUCUUCAUCCCACCCCGUGACGCCUUCUCUGACAACAACCAGCGCACGUCCCAGCUCCUCUGUCAGGCAACAGGCUUCAGCCCCAAGAAGAUCUCUGUGUCCUGGCUUCGUGACGGAAAGCCCAUCAAGUCGGGCUUCAACACAGGCAACGUGGAGGCUGAGAACCAAGGGCCCGGGCCCGUGACCUUCAGGGUGCUCAGCACGCUGACCAUCACCGAGAAUGCCUGGCUCAGCCAGAGCGUGUUCACUUGCAAUGUGGAGCACAGUGGGCUGACCUUCAAGAAGAACGUGUCCUCCGCAUGCAUCCUCAACACGCAGGCCAGCAUCAGAAUCUUCGCCAUUCCCCCCACCUUCGCCAGCAUCUUCCAAACUAAGUCGGCCAAGCUGUCCUGCAGGGUCGUAGACCUGACCACCCGCGACAGCCUGAACAUCUCCUGGACCCACCAGAAUGGCAACUUUCUGCCAACCACCACCAUCUUCCAGAGCAACCUCAACAACACCUUCAGUGCCACGGGGGAGGCCACCGUCUGUGCAGAGGACUGGGAGUCAGGGGAGGACUUCACCUGCACGGUGACCCACACAGAUCUGCCCUCGCCACUGAAGAAGACCAUCUCUAAACCCAAGGACGUCAACAAGCAACCACCCUCCGUCUACGUCCUGCCACCCAGCCGGGAGCAGCUGAGCCUGCGGGAGUCAGCCACAGUCACUUGCCUGGUGAAGGGCUUCUCACCCGCAGAUGUGUUCGUGCAAUGGCUGCAGAAAGGCCAACCCAUGUCCUCUGAGAGUUACGUGACCAGCGACCCGACGCCCGAGCCCCAGGACCCCCACCUCUACUUUGUCCACAGCACCCUGACUGUGAGUGAGGAGGAGUGGAGCUCGGGGGAGACCUACACCUGUGUUGUGGGCCACGAGGCCCUGCCCCACAUGGUGACGGAGAGGAGCGUGGACAAGUCCACCGAGGGGGAGGUGAGCGCCGAGGAGGAGGGCUUCGAGAAUCUGAACACCAUGGCCUCCACCUUCAUCGUUCUCUUCCUCCUCAGCGUCUUCUACAGCACCACAGUCACCCUGUUCAAGGUGAAAUGACCCUCCCCGCUAAGAACUUCAGAGACCCAGAAGAUGGGACCCAGGGGGGCACCGCCUUGGGGCCUGGGGUUCCCAGCCUGCAGACCCUGUCGACUUGCACUUAAAUCCUUCCCACGUCACCCCUCCCGCUUGCCGCCCAAAGACGCAGGCUUCUCAAGACCAGGCCAAGUGCCGUGGACGCAGCACCGCUCUGCAGUGUGCACACAUGUCACCUUGAAAUAAA